rnacentral:rRNA from 1 species
GUUAAGCGACUAAGCGUACACGGUGGAUGCCCUGGCAGUCAGAGGCGAUGAAGGACGUGCUAAUCUGCGAUAAGCGUCGGUAAGGUGAUAUGAACCGUUAUAACCGGCGAUUUCCGAAUGGGGAAACCCAGUGUGAUUCGUCACACUAUCAUUAACUGAAUCCAUAGGUUAAUGAGGCGAACCGGGGGAACUGAAACAUCUAAGUACCCCGAGGAAAAGAAAUCAACCGAGAUUCCCCCAGUAGCGGCGAGCGAACGGGGAGCAGCCCAGAGCCUGAAUCAGUGUGUGUGUUAGUGGAAGCGUCUGGAAAGGCGCGCGAUACAGGGUGACAGCCCCGUACACAAAAAUGCACAUGCUGUGAGCUCGAUGAGUAGGGCGGGACACGUGGUAUCCUGUCUGAAUAUGGGGGGACCAUCCUCCAAGGCUAAAUACUCCUGACUGACCGAUAGUGAACCAGUACCGUGAGGGAAAGGCGAAAAGAACCCCGGCGAGGGGAGUGAAAAAGAACCUGAAACCGUGUACGUACAAGCAGUGGGAGCACAGAGCAAUCUGUGUGACUGCGUACCUUUUGUAUAAUGGGUCAGCGACUUAUAUUCUGUAGCAAGGUUAACCGAAUAGGGGAGCCGAAGGGAAACCGAGUCUUAACUGGGCGUUAAGUUGCAGGGUAUAGACCCGAAACCCGGUGAUCUAGCCAUGGGCAGGUUGAAGGUUGGGUAACACUAACUGGAGGACCGAACCGACUAAUGUUGAAAAAUUAGCGGAUGACUUGUGGCUGGGGGUGAAAGGCCAAUCAAACCGGGAGAUAGCUGGUUCUCCCCGAAAGCUAUUUAGGUAGCGCCUCGUGAAUUCAUCUCCGGGGGUAGAGCACUGUUUCGGCAAGGGGGUCAUCCCGACUUACCAACCCGAUGCAAACUGCGAAUACCGGAGAAUGUUAUCACGGGAGACACACGGCGGGUGCUAACGUCCGUCGUGAAGAGGGAAACAACCCAGACCGCCAGCUAAGGUCCCAAAGUCAUGGUUAAGUGGGAAACGAUGUGGGAAGGCCCAGACAGCCAGGAUGUUGGCUUAGAAGCAGCCAUCAUUUAAAGAAAGCGUAAUAGCUCACUGGUCGAGUCGGCCUGCGCGGAAGAUGUAACGGGGCUAAACCAUGCACCGAAGCUGCGGCAGCGACGCUGAUGCGUUGUUGGGUAGGGGAGCGUUCUGUAAGCCUGUGAAGGUGUGCUGUGAGGCAUGCUGGAGGUAUCAGAAGUGCGAAUGCUGACAUAAGUAACGAUAAAGCGGGUGAAAAGCCCGCUCGCCGGAAGACCAAGGGUUCCUGUCCAACGUUAAUCGGGGCAGGGUGAGUCGACCCCUAAGGCGAGGCCGAAAGGCGUAGUCGAUGGGAAACAGGUUAAUAUUCCUGUACUUGGUGUUACUGCGAAGGGGGGACGGAGAAGGCUAUGUUGGCCGGGCGACGGUUGUCCCGGUUUAAGCGUGUAGGCUGGUUUUCCAGGCAAAUCCGGAAAAUCAAGGCUGAGGCGUGAUGACGAGGCACUACGGUGCUGAAGCAACAAAUGCCCUGCUUCCAGGAAAAGCCUCUAAGCAUCAGGUAACAUCAAAUCGUACCCCAAACCGACACAGGUGGUCAGGUAGAGAAUACCAAGGCGCUUGAGAGAACUCGGGUGAAGGAACUAGGCAAAAUGGUGCCGUAACUUCGGGAGAAGGCACGCUGAUAUGUAGGUGAAGUCCCUCGCGGAUGGAGCUGAAAUCAGUCGAAGAUACCAGCUGGCUGCAACUGUUUAUUAAAAACACAGCACUGUGCAAACACGAAAGUGGACGUAUACGGUGUGACGCCUGCCCGGUGCCGGAAGGUUAAUUGAUGGGGUCAGCGCAAGCGAAGCUCUUGAUCGAAGCCCCGGUAAACGGCGGCCGUAACUAUAACGGUCCUAAGGUAGCGAAAUUCCUUGUCGGGUAAGUUCCGACCUGCACGAAUGGCGUAAUGAUGGCCAGGCUGUCUCCACCCGAGACUCAGUGAAAUUGAACUCGCUGUGAAGAUGCAGUGUACCCGCGGCAAGACGGAAAGACCCCGUGAACCUUUACUAUAGCUUGACACUGAACAUUGAGCCUUGAUGUGUAGGAUAGGUGGGAGGCUUUGAAGUGUGG